UAGUGAGUUUGAUCCUGGCUCAGAGCGAACGCUGGCGGCAGGCUUAACACAUGCAAGUCGAACGGACGUAGCAAUACGUUAGUGGCAGACGGGUGAGGAACACGUGGGAACAUGCCCUUUGGUUUGGGAUAACUCAGGGAAACUUGAGCUAAUACCGGAUAAGCCCGAGAGGGGAAAGAUUUAUCGCCGAAGGAUUGGCCCGCGUCUGAUUAGCUAGUUGGUGGGGUAAAGGCUCACCAAGGCGACGAUCCUUAGCUGGUCUGAGAGGAUGAUCAGCCACAC
rnacentral:rRNA from 1 species